AAGAUGAAGAGCUGGUCACACCUCUUAAGAGCCCUGAGGUGUGAGGCCAGCACCUGAAGAUGCUACUGCUUCUGCUGCUUCUGGGGUCCAGAUCCGGCCUUGGUGCUCACGUCUCUCAACAUCCAAGCAGGGCCAUCUGUACCAGCGGAGCCCCUGUGAAGAUCCAGUGCCAUUCUAUAGACCUUCAGGCCUCAACUAUAUUUUGGUAUCAUCAGUUACCCAAACAGGGCCUCAUACUGAUGGCGACUUCUAAUAUGGGCUCCCCAGUCACAUACGAACAAGGUUUUACUGAGGCCAAGUUUCCUAUCAGCCAUCCAAACCUAACAUUCUCAAGUCUGACGGUGACAAGUGCCCAUCCUGCAGAUAGCAGCCUCUACCUCUGCGGUGCUAGUGACACAGCGCUGGGCAGAGAUCAGAGGACCAACCAAGAACCUUUGCCCCUCUUCCCCACCCGCCGAAGCUGUGGAGUCCUGUGGAAGGUGUGGAGAGAGAAAAACCACAGCUCCUCUGACGGAGACAUCUGUGUGUAGAGAGAGA